CUAUACAUGCAAGUCGAGCGGACAGAAGGGAGCUUGCUCCCGGAUGUUAGCGGCGGACGGGUGAGUAACACGUGGGUAACCUGCCUGUAAGACUGGGAUAACUCCGGGAAACCGGAGCUAAUACCGGAUAGUUCCUUGAACCGCAUGGUUCAAGGAUGAAAGACGGUUUCGGCUGUCACUUACAGAUGGACCCGCGGCGCAUUAGCUAGUUGGUGGGGUAAUGGCUCACCAAGGCGACGAUGCGUAGCCGACCUGAGAGGGUGAUCGGCCACACUGGGACUGAGACACGGCCCAGACUCCUACGGGAGGCAGCAGUAGGGAAUCUUCCGCAAUGGACGAAAGUCUGACGGAGCAACGCCGCGUGAGUGAUGAAGGUUUUCGGAUCGUAAAGCUCUGUUGUUAGGGAAGAACAAGUGCGAGAGUAACUGCUCGCACCUUGACGGUACCUAACCAGAAAGCCACGGCUAACUACGUGCCAGCAGCCGCGGUAAUACGUAGGUGGCAAGCGUUGUCCGGAAUUAUUGGGCGUAAAGGGCUCGCAGGCGGUUUCUUAAGUCUGAUGUGAAAGCCCCCGGCUCAACCGGGGAGGGUCAUUGGAAACUGGGAAACUUGAGUGCAGAAGAGGAGAGUGGAAUUCCACGUGUAGCGGUGAAAUGCGUAGAGAUGUGGAGGAACACCAGUGGCGAAGGCGACUCUCUGGUCUGU
rnacentral:rRNA from 1 species